rnacentral:rRNA from 1 species
CCUACGGGUGGCCGCAGUGAGGAAUAUUGGUCAAUGAGCGAGAGCCUAAACCAGCCAAGUCGCGUGCAGGAUGACGGCCCUACGGGUUGUAAACUUCUUUUGUCAGGGAGCAAUUGAGUCCACGUGUGGUCUUAGCGAGAGUACCUGAAGAAAAAGCAUCCGCUAACUCCGUGCCAGCAGCCGCGGUAAUACGGAGGAUGCGAGCGUUAUCCGGAUUUAUUGGGUUAAAAGGGUGCGUAGGCGGAAUAUCAAGUCAGCGGUAAAAAUUCGGGGCUCAACCCCGUCGUGCCUGUGAAACUGAUGUUCUUGCGUGGGCGAGAAGUAUGCGGAAUGCGUGGUGUAGCGGUGAAAUGCAUAGAUAUCACGCAGAACUCCGAUUGCGAAGGCAGCAUACCGGCGCCCAACUGACGCUGAAGCACGAAAGCGUGGGUAUCGAACAGGAUUAGAUACCCGGGUAGUC